AAGACUAUAGACCUGCGGAGUACCUGCGGAAGGAUCAUUAAAAAAAGUUUUUGCCUGCGGACUUUUGUCCAAGGCGCAAAAAACCCACACCGUGUGCACCGUUAUCGUUUCUUUGGCAGGGGUUUGAGACGAUUGGUUUUUUUUCCUUUCUCUCAACUUCUCCUCUGGCUCUAUCCUUCGUUAAUUUUUUUUUUUUCGUCGGACAGCCGGACAUGGGAAGCAGUUUUUUUUAACUACCCC
rnacentral:misc_RNA from 1 species